rnacentral:rRNA from 1 species
CUAGAGGGUGUCAGAGGUGAGUGGAAUUUCCGGAGUAGCGGUAAAAUGCGCAGAGAUCGGAAAGAACACCAAUGGCGAAGGCAGCUCCCUGGGGCAACCCUGACGCUAAGAGACGAAAGCUAGGGGAGCGAACAGGAUUAGAGACCCUGGUAGUCCUAGCCCUAAACGAUGGAUGCUGGAUGUGGGGCCAUAGCGCUCCGUGUCGAAGCGAACGCGUUAAGCAUCCCGCCUGGGGACUACGGCCGCAAGGUUAAAACUCAAACGAAUUGACGGGACCCCGCACAAGCAGCGGAGCGUGUGGUUUAAUUCGAUGCUACACGAAGAACCUUACCUGGGUUUGACAUCUAGGUGGUAGUGAAGCGAAAGCGGAGCGACCCUUCGGGGAGCCUAGACAGGUGCUGCAUGGCUGUCGUCAGCUCGUGCCGUGAGGUGUCGGGUUAAGUCCCGUAACGAGCGCAACCCUUGCCCUCCGUUAUACGUGUCAGAGGGGACUGCCGGCGGUAAGCCGGAGGAAGGUGGGGAUGACGUCAAGUCAGCAUGGCCUUUAUAUCCAGGGCUACACACACGCUACAAUGGCCAGUACAAAGGGCAGCGAAGCCGCGAGGUGGAGCGAAUCCCAGCAAAGCUGGUCGUAGUUCGGAUUGCAGGCUGCAACCCGCCUGCAUGAAGCUGGAGUUGCUAGUAACCGCGCGUCAGCCAUAGUGCGGUGAAUACGUUCCCGGGGUUUGUACACACCGCCCGUCACGUCAUGGGAGUCGAUAACGCCUGAAGCCGGUGCCUAGCUCGGAAGAGAGGGCGCUGUCUAAGGCGGGGUCGGUGACUGGGACGAAGUCGUAAC